UGAGGAAUAUUGGUCAAUGGGCGCAAGCCUGAACCAGCCAUCCCGCGUGCAGGAAGACGGCCCUAUGGGUUGUAAACUGCUUUUCCAGGGAGAGAAACUUACGCACGUGUUGCGUGACUGACGGUACCCUGGGAAUAAGCAUCGGCUAACUCCGUGCCAGCAGCCGCGGUAAUACGGAGGAUGCAAGCGUUAUCCGGAUUCAUUGGGUUUAAAGGGUGCGUAGGCGGGCUAUUAAGUCAGUGGUGAAAUCCUGCAGCUUAACUGCAGAACUGCCGUUGAUACUGAUAGUCUUGAGUUUGGUUAAGGUAGGCGGAAUGUGUAAUGUAGCGGUGAAAUGCUUAGAUAUUACACAGAACACCAAUUGCGUAGGCAGCUUACUGAGCCGACACUGACGCUGAGGCACGAAAGCGUGGGGAUCAAACAG
rnacentral:rRNA from 1 species